AACUGCGAAUGGCUCAUUAUAUCAGUUAUAGUUUAUUUGAUGAAGAAUACUAAUUGGAUAACCGUAGUAAUUCUAGAGCUAAUACAUGUAUAAAGUCUUGUAGACUGCAUUUAUUAGAAUGAAAACCAUAGGUUUCGGCCUAUUCGUGAGUAAUAAUAACUAAUCAUAUCGUAUGCUUAUGUAACGAUGUGUCUUUCAAGUUUCUGCCCUUUCAGCUUUCGAUGGUAGUGUAUUGGACUACCAUGGCAGUA
rnacentral:rRNA from 1 species